rnacentral:rRNA from 1 species
GAUGAACGCUGGCGGCGUGCCUAAUACAUGCAAGUCGAGCGAACAGAUGAGGAGCUUGCUCCUCUGACGUUAGCGGCGGACGGGUGAGUAACACGUGGAUAACCUACCUAUAAGACUGGGAUAACUACGGGAAACCGGAGCUAAUACCGGAUAAUAUAUUGAACCGCAUGGUUCAAUAGUGAAAGACGGUUUUGCUGUCACUUAUCGAUGGAUCCGCGCCGCAUUAGCUAGUUGGUAAGGUAACGGCUUACCAAGGCAACGAUGCGUAGCCGACCUGAUAGGGUGGUCGGCCACAUUGGAACGGGGACACGGUCCAUACUCCUACGGGAGGCAGCAGUAGGGAAUCUUACGCAGAGGGCGAAAGCAUGACGGAGCAACGCCGCGUGAGUGAUGAAGGUCUUCGGAUCGUAAAGCUCUGUUAUUAGGGAAGAACAAAUGUGUAAGUAACUAUGCACGUCUUGACGGUACCUAAUCAGAAAGCCACGGCUAACUACGUG